CAGUGGGGAAUAUUGCACAAUGGGCGCAAGCCUGAUGCAGCCAUGCCGCGUGUGUGAAGAAGGCCUUCGGGUUGUAAAGCACUUUCAGUAGGGAGGAAGGUGGUAGUGUUAAUAGCAGUGUCAUUUGACGUUACCUACAGAAGAAGCACCGGCUAACUCCGUGCCAGCAGCCGCGGUAAUACGGAGGGUGCGAGCGUUAAUCGGAAUUACUGGGCGUAAAGCGCAUGCAGGUGGUUUGUUAAGUCAGAUGUGAAAGCCCCGGGCUCAACCUGGGAAUUGCAUUUGAAACUGGCAAACUAGAGUACUGUAGAGGGGGGUAGAAUUUCAGGUGUAGCGGUGAAAUGCGUAGAGAUCUGAAGGAAUACCGGUGGCGAAGGCGGCCCCCUGGACAGAUACUGACACUCAGAUGCGAAAGCGUGGGGAGCAAACAGGAUUAGAUACCCUGGUAGUCCACGCCGUAAACGAUGUCUACUUGGAGGUUGUGGCCUUGAGCCGUGGCUUUCGGAGCUAACGCGUUAAGUAGACCG
rnacentral:rRNA from 1 species